rnacentral:rRNA from 1 species
UACGAAGGAGGCUAGCGCUGUUCGGCCUCACGGGGCGCAAAGUUCACGCAGGCGGAUCGAUAAGUCGGGGGUGAAAGCCCGGGGCUCAACCUCGGAAUUGCCUUCGAUACUGUCGGUCUCGAGUCCGGGAGAGGUGAGUGGAAUUCCUAGUGUAGAGGUGACAUUCGUAGAUAUUAGGAAGAACACCAGUGGCGAAGGCGGCUCACUGGCCCGGUACUGACGCCCAGGUGCGAAAGCGUGGGGAGCAAAUAGG